GGGACUGUAGCUCAGCUGGGAGAGCACCACAAUGGCAUUGUGGGGGUCGCGAGUUCGAUCCUCGUCAGUUCCACCA
rnacentral:tRNA from 2 species